rnacentral:rRNA from 2 species
AAAAUUAGAGUGUUCAAAGCAGGCAGAUCCAAUUCUCUGCCACCGAAUACAUUAGCAUGGGAUAAUGGAAUAGGACCCUGUCCUCCUAUUUUCAGUUGGUUUUGGCAGCGCGAGGACUAGGGUAAUGAUUAAUAGGGAUAGUUGGGGGCAUUAAUAUUUAAUUGUCAGAGGUGAAAUUCUUGGAUUUAUGAAAGAUUAACUUCUGCGAAAGCAUCUGCCAAGGAUGUUUUCAUUAAUCAAGAACGAAAGUUAGGGGAUCGAAGACGAUCAGAUACCGUCGUAGUCUUAACCAUAAACGAUGCCGACCAGCGAUUAGGAGACGUUGAAUACAAAACACCACCAUCGGUGCGGCUGUUCUUGGCGUCGGUUUCGGCCGGCGCGGGGAUGGCUUAGCCCGGUGGCACCGGUGAA